rnacentral:tRNA from 1 species
AGGGUAAUAUUAUUUAUAAUAAAUUUAACCUGCAAUUAAAAUAUAUUGAUUAAAAAGUCAAUUUACCUUA